AUCUGACUUCUAUUGAGUCUGUGGUACCAAAGUAAUGGUAGUGACAGACCUGGAGUCUGUCCCAGAUGACAUCUCUGAUCUGAUGUCCUUCCAGACCUACUAAAGCCUCUGGAUGUGAACGGAAAGCUGCUUCAGGAUCGUGAGAAACACAUAAGACCUGUGGAUCCUAUGGUCAUGGACCCACUGCCACACUUGUCUGGCUAUGAAGUAAGGUCCAUGAUCAGGUGCAAGUGGAAUACCAUGUGGAUAGAUGUUCUCUAAGUCCAGGUUGGUAGCAUUAGCAGAAGAGUUAUGUUCAGAAAAGGCAAAUCAAUAAACUGAAUAAGCAUCCAUCCCAACAA
rnacentral:lncRNA from 1 species